rnacentral:rRNA from 1 species
UACGGGGGGGGCAAGCGUUGUUCGGAAUUACUGGGCGUAAAGGGCUUGUAGGUGGCCAACUAAGUCAGACGUGAAAUCCCCCGGCUUAACCGGGGAACUGCGUCUGAUACUGGAUGGCUAGAGAUUGGGAGAGGGACGCGGAAUUCCAGGUGUAGCGGUGAAAUGCGUAGAUAUCUGGAGGAACACCGGUGGCGAAGGCGGCGUCCUGGACCAACACUGACACUGAAAAGCGAAAGCCAGGGAGCAAACGGG